AUGCUCGCUUUGGCAGCACAUAUACUAAAAUUGGAACGAUACAGAGAAGAUUAGCAUGGACCCUGCGCAAGGAUGACACACAAAUUCAUGAAACGUUCCAUAUUUUU
rnacentral:snRNA from 1 species